CAUGAUGCAGCAUGUCCACAGAGAGGGAGGGAGGCGGACACUAUCAGGACCCGGAUGGAGAAAAGAAAUAACCCUGAGAAUGUUGGAAGCUGUGGUGUGCCGUGCGAGGCUAUGAUGGGUCAGACCGGAGGGAACCUUCGUCCACACGAACAGAGCACCCCAUGUCUUCAUUGCUGCUGUUUUCACAGUGGGGCUGAGGAGGAGCGGCAGAGGAUUAUAAGUGCACAACCAGGACCCACAACAUGGGCGUAGCUCGAGACAGGACCACAGCAACGGCAAAACCAAGACAACGAUCAGGGCGAGCUGGGGGUACAGUAUCAGUGCAGCCACAGCACGAGCACGACCAGAGGCAGGAUCACAGCGCCAGCAGAGCUAUCACCGCCAUCAGGCGCAGCCAAGAUUGCAGCCAGGAUCACGUGCAGGGGAGCCCCCGCCCCCCCUCUGAAUGAUCCAUUAGCAUCAACCGCAUAGCGGGCAGUGACAAAAUAACCCAAUACCAGUAUCUAUGCAUUGCUUAACAGGUACAGUAUAUGAUCAGGAAAAAAAAUGACCAUGAAUCAAUUCCAAAAUCCUUUCCUCUUUUUGUAAAAAGCUUAUUUUGCCAGUUGUGUACUGUUAAAAUGGGACAUGCUUUUAUUGUCAAGAUGGGACACUACUCUUUGUCAUUUUAAGAGGGAAAACUGUUUUUGAGGAUCAUAAAACACUGGCUAUAUUCAGAUAAUCAUUUUUAUAAAUUUUAUCAAAUAUAUUUCUUCAAAUAUGUCCGCUAGCUUGAUGGAACUAAGCGAAGAAGGGCUAGCAUUGUCAUGUUUUAGCAAGCCUAAUUCAAAAAAGCUCCAGCUGGUUAUUCUACCCUACAAAGGAGAAAGGCAGUAAUUCUUAGAGUGCAGAACUGAGAUGUAUAGCACUGUUGAUAAAUAUUAAAUAGCUCAGACAAGUCAAAAAUUCUGUAAAUUGUUCCAGAAUGCAAAUUUUCAAAGUUUCCCAAUUUAGCAAUACUCACUAUAUGUUAAUGUUGAGUAAUGCAGUAUUCACAGUAUUUUGUAUUAUCCCAAGUGAUAGCUACUUUCAAAGUGUGUAAGUCCAGAUACAUGUGAUUAGUAUAAUGGAGUAUUGCUGUCAAUUGCACUAUUUUAUUAUAGUGGCUGUGGUUCACUGAAAUAAGGUAAAUGAGUAUUAGGAUGUUUCUUGAAGUAGAAUACUGAAAGUACACAUGAAAUGUGAGAUGUUAGAAACCACUGGAUUUCUGGAGUGUUUGAUGCCCUUGAAAUAUGGACUGAAGCAAAGACUGACACUCAGGGAAAAUGUUUCCUAUAGAAUAUUUUAUUAUGAAAAUUGAAUAGAUGCAAUCUGGAUAACGAGCUUAGCACGUUGUGUCUUCAUUGCUGCUGUGUCCUUUCUGUAUCUCACAGAACUUAUUUAUUGUUACUGUAGCUCCAAUUCUGGGACCCAUGACAAUAAUAUGACUUUUAUAUGACAUUUGUAUGACAUACUACGACUGACUCUUUUUCAUUACAUCAGAACUGUUCUAUGGCAAUUGAUGAUAUUUUCAUUAUAUACUAUAACUUUU